rnacentral:rRNA from 1 species
GCUUACGGCCAUACCACCCUGAGCACACCCGAUCUCGUCCGAUCUCGGAGGCAUAGCAGUGUUGGGCCUGGUUAGUACUUGGAUGGGAGACCGCCUGGGAAUACCAGGUGCUGUAAGCU